rnacentral:rRNA from 1 species
GGAAGGAUCAUUAUUGAAUGAACUUGGUGUGGUUGUUGCUGGCCCUCUCGGGGGCAUGUGCACACCCACCAUCCUCAUCUCUCCACCUGUGCACCUCUUGUAGACCUGGAUAGACUUUCCGAGGCAACUCGGUCGGGAAGAUUGCUGCGCUCUGUGAGCCAGCUUUCUUUGCAUGUCCAGGCCUAUGUUUUUCAUAUACCCCUAUAGAAUGUAACAGAAUGUAUCAUUGGGCCUUGUGCCUAUAAACCUUAUACAACUUUCAGCAACGGAUCUCUUGGCUCUCGCAUCGAUGAAGAACGCAGCGAAAUGCGAUAAGUAAUGUGAAUUGCAGAAUUCAGUGAAUCAUCGAAUCUUUGAACGCACCUUGCGCUCCUUGGUAUUCCGAGGAGCAUGCCUGUUUGAGUGUCAUUAAAUUCUCAACCUUAUUAGCUUUUGUUGAUAAUGGAUUGGAUGUGGGGGUUUAUUUGCUGGCUUCUUCACAGAGAUCAGCUCCCCUUAAAUGCAUUAGCUGGUGCCCCGCGUGGACCAUCUAUUGGUGUGAUAAUUAUCUACGCCGUGGAUGUCUGCAAUCAUAUGGGUUUUGCACUGCUUCUAACCGUCUGUUCAUUCGGACAAUACAUGACAAUUUGACCUCAAAUCAGGUAGGACUACCCGCUGAACUUAAGCAUAUCAAUAAGCGGAGGAAAAGAAACUAACAAGGAUUCCCCUAGUAACUGCGAGUGAAGCGGGAAAAGCUCAAAUUUAAAAUCUGGCGGUCUCCGGCCGUCCGAGUUGUAAUCUAGAGAAGUGUUAUCCGCGCUGGACCGUGUACAAGUCUCCUGGAAUGGAGCGUCAUAGAGGGUGAGAAUCCCGUCUUUGACACGGACUGCCAGGGCUUUGUGAUGCGCUCUCAAAGAGUCGAGUUGUUUGGGAAUGCAGC